UCCACCAUCCGGGCACUGAGGAUACCCCGUUGGUCCAGCAUCCCAGGGAAGCCUGCGAAUACAAGGAUCACGGUCACGCGGUGGUGUCCUUUCUGGAGAACUGGGCAGUGAGAGCGGACACACAAGGACCCUCGGGGUCUUGGGGCAGGGUGGGUCCCUGAAUGCUGAAACCAACCAGCAGAGAAAAAAUGGGGAUCACAAGAAAAGCAGCAAGAGGAGGCUCUUGAACUAUCCAGGAAGAGUUUCCCUCCCUGCAGAAAGAACAGCUACCCUGCAAGCCUAGUCAUAGCAUAUUGAAACAACAAAAGGGAGCAGCACUAGCAGCGUCUGACAGAACUCAAGGCUCACAGAGAUGGUCCUGGUCAUGGCUGUCACUGUCCUCUGCCAUCAUGUAUGUCAGUGAAGUACCCCUGCCUUCUACUUAAACAAUAAAACAACAGACCCCACACUUGUCACGAUGCUGAGAGCUCUGUAUUCAGAACACUGAUACCUAACAGCACAGACAUAGAAGCGGGAUUUAUGAUGAAGCAGCGGGG